rnacentral:lncRNA from 1 species
GAGGUGUCAACGUUUGUUUUGAAGUCUCAGGAUUCUUAAGACGGUGGUUUUCCAAAGAACUGUCCCACCCAGAAUCACUUGCUUAAAUACUUGCGUGAAGUACCAUCCUAAGGCUCAGGCUGUGCAUUUCUGUACCUGGCAGGAGUUUUGCAUUCUGCUCUUAAAAAGACGGGGUUUUGAAGAGCAGCUCAGGACCCCAGGCCCAGGGCACUGUCACCAUGAUGGUGCAGGGGUCACCCGAUCUUAGCUCUUCUCCCUGAACAAGUGGCGUGACCCUGGGUGCCCAGCGUAGGGGUGGGUGGGGGCAGGGCAGCACGGUGGGCCUAGGUGGCCAGCCACCCUCCCAGCCUCUUCCCUGCACCCCCCUAGCAGGGCCAGCCUGCCUCUCCGGGCCUGCAUGUGCUGGUGCUGGGAAGCCCUGGCCAGAGGCUGAUGUGAGCGUGUGCGGGAGAGACCGUCACAUCCUGAUGAUGCUUACAGUGGACUACACGCCGGCCCCAGCUAAGGGCCGUAGGGGGAUCGGGCCCCUCAAUUCUGGCCUGUGCUCCUCCAGCCGCCUGCCUGGCCCUGGGCCCUCACUGUGCUGCUCAUGGCUCCUGGCCAGGACCCUGCAUCGAAGCCCCUCUCCCCUGGGAGCAUGGAGGGACGGUCGCUGGUGGCACCAGGUCACUUCACGUACGGAGCCUCUCGCUCAGCUGGGCGGGCUGACCUUUCUGAUUUCGGAACACGUGUUCGCUGUGACUCACGGUGAUUCACCUGUGAAGGGGAAGCCUUCCGUAAGAAUUUACACAAAAAGCACACACCAUUGAGCGAGAACGUACUGAACGGUUUCUGAACACUCCGUGGCUGCUUGAAGGGUGGCCAGGACGUCUGUCC